rnacentral:rRNA from 1 species
AAUCAACGCUGGCGGCGCGCCUAACACAUGCAAGUCGCACGAGAAAGCGGGGCAACCCGCAAGUACAGUGGCGUACGGGUGAGUAACACGUGGAUGAUCUACCUUCUAGUGGGGAAUAAUCCUGGGAAAUCGGGGCUAAUACCGCAUAAGCUCGAGAGAGGAAAGCAGCAAUGCGCUGGAAGAGGAGUCCGCGGCCGAUUAGCUAGUUGGGAGGGUAAAAGCCUACCAAGGCAAAGAUCGGUAGCCGGCCUGAGAGGGCACACGGCCACACUGGCACUGAAACACGGGCCAGACUCCUACGGGAGGCAGCAGUGGGGAAUCUUGCACAAUGGGGGAAACCCUGAUGCAGCGACGCCGCGUGAGCGAUGAAGCCCUUCGGGGUGUAAAGCUCUUUCGUCAGGGAAGAUGAUGACGGUACCUGGAGAAGCAGCUGCGGCUAACUACGAGCCAGCAGCCGCGGUAAUACGUAGGCAGCAAGCGUUGUUC